CUGGAGAUCCUCAUGGAGGAUAUUGUGAGACUACAACAUUGGAUUCCAGGGUGCAGGAUGGUAGGUGUCAGUAAAGGUGCUGCACUGCAAUAAUCAGUCAAAAGAUGCCUCUAAGAAAAGCAUUUUCUCUCUAGUUUCCAGUAACCUAGGUUUGAGUUUAAAGUCAACAUAGUGUUUUGAUGCAUGGAAUAAGUGAAAAUUGUCCAGUUGGUGAGAGGGUGUUCCUGGAGGACACUAUUGUCACAUCAAGAAUAACUGAAUUAUGCAUGAAGAAGCUCUAAAAAGUUCAGCAGCACAAAGAAGGCAUCCUCCAGGCAAUAAGUAGGGUGAGGAGCUAAGGGACUUAUUACUUCUAUCAUCUCACUUCUGCUGCUGCCUGUAAUGCUUAGAGGAAGCUUUGGACCUGGCUGAAGUCUGUGAAGACAUGGAUGAGAGUUGUUUGGAAUUAGAAUUGAAGAAGGAAGAAGCCAGCUGAAGUAAAAGUAAUAGUUUGUCUCCUGUCAGUGGACAGACCAAAACAAGUUCCCCCAGAUGUUAAUGUAUUCUGUAAUUUUCAAAAUUGCAGAUGCUUGGCACAAAACUGAAGCAACCUGUUCUUAUUCUGGGUCCGUCUUCACAGGAAGAACAGAAUAUGUCCCUGUUUUAUGUGUCACUUAAUAUCUUUGUCUGUUCAUGAAGAUUGCAAUUUUAUGUAAUGAAAAUCCAGACGUUAAGAAUGAUUGAAGCAUCCCUACACUGUUAACACAGAUUAUAUUUUCCAUCAUAAAUUAUGGCAGGAAUAAUGCAUUAUGGUGAAUGGUGAGCUCCCACUGACCUCAGUUUAACUAAGAUUUUGCCCAUUACAUAUCUGUGGUACCUUUUGACUGUUUUCAACACUCUUCCCUACCUGACACAUCAUUAACAUCUUUAACGUUUGAACAACUUACAGCAAUUUCAACUACGUCUUUUAAAAAGUUAUAAUUGUUCUGCCUUUACAACUUCAAAUAGUUUGUGCAGAAAAAAAACUGAUACAAAUCACUACUUUUCUUUUACCAACCUGUUACCAACCUCUUACUGUAGAAAUGUUGUCAUUGAUUCUAUAUUUCUAUAUCUGCUUUAACUUUGCGGAUUGUUUUACAAGUAUAUGAUGGAAGAGUGAUUAGGGAUGUUUUUGUCUAAGAUGCUAAGGAAAUGGAAUUUUGUGACCCCAACAAUGCCCUUCCUCUUCUGUGAAAAGCAAUUGUUUUGACUUGCAUUUUGGACAGAAUAGCACUGAGAUUUGCAGACCAAAAGACAUUAACAUUGAGAUCUUAGAUUUGUUGAGAUUUCGUGGCACUUUUGUGUGUUUGUGAGAGAAUUUGUCCUUUAUUCUCUUUAUUCUUCCAGCUGUUAGUACAACUUUUUCCACUACAUUGGGGUUAAUGAAACCCACUACAAUUUCAGUUAAUGAAAAGAAAAAACUUUUUUGAAGAAUUUGCUGAGGAAAACACUUGUGUUUAUCUUAGUAAAGCUAUAUUUAAAAUAUUUGGGGAGGGGGGAAAGCUUGACAUGGAAGACAUGUUUUUUCUGGCCCUCCUUACUUGCUAGCAUGUAAGGCAUUCAACAGAACAAACAAGGAUUAAACUUUUCUUGCAGUUUCUUGCAGUUUCACAGGUACAUUCACUUUUCUGAGUCAGUUUUUAAUCUUGCAGUGCAGAAUUGCAACUGGUUUGUUUUCUUCAAGGUUUGCUUCAACCUUCUUUAUGGUGUAGAAAAUUACUGACUUUGGUUUCUCUCUUUAACUGGCCUAAACAGCAGGAACCACAUUAAAGAAUUCACCUGCAAAAAUGAAGGAGAUACAUUAAAAAAAAAAAAAAAAUGCUUGCAAAUAUCAGGGGUGGGUAAAUUUGGGGGCAUAACAGCAACAGCAAUGUUUUGGAAGUUAGAUUUAUGGAUAUGUUGAUUGUGCCAGUUUUAAGACAAAGAUUUUUUUUCUGCAUGUUCAGAUUUGAGAGGGAAUUAGUGCCACUCACCUGUAGGUGAGCACAAUGAAGACUAAAGUAGUCACCAUUGGUGAAAAUAAAAGAAAGUUACCUUUCAGGUAAGGAAGCACAGCAAACCUUUCAGCUUUCUGUUUUAAAAUUUCCUGGAUUUGAAA